AUUGAACGCUGGCGGCAGGCCUAACACAUGCAAGUCGAACGCGUGGCGGACGGGUGAGUAAUAUCUGGGAAACUGCCUGAUGGAGGGGGAUAACUUCUGGAAACGAUUGCUAAUACCGCAUACCCUCGGAUGUGCCCAGAUGGGAUUCGCUAGUAGGUGGGGUAAAGGCUCACCUAGGCGCAGAUCCCUAGCUGGUCUGAGAGGAUGACCAGCCACACUGGAACUGAGACAAGGUCCAGACUCCUACGGGAGGCAGCAGUGGGGAAUAUUGCACAAUGGGCGCAAGCCUGAUGCAGCCAUGCCGCGUGUAUGAAGAAGGCCUUCGGGUUGUAAAGUACUUUCAGCGGGGAGGCGUUACCCGCAGAAGAAGCACCGGCUAACUCCGUGUCAGCAGCCGCGGUAAUAC
rnacentral:rRNA from 1 species